UUUCCUUGGUGUCUGUCUCUCCUAUUUCCACCCAUCUCUGCUGGAGACCCCUAUCUCAAUUUUUAAAAAAAUCACCCAUCAAGAAACAAAGCUCCGUGCGUGGCACUCUGUGCAGAGAGAUCUGCACAAAGGAAGAGUCCGAUGGCCGCCUCCCAGCCUGCUUCCUGGAUUCACAGUCUUUGCAGAUGAAACAAGUCAAGAUGAAGGCAGACCGGAUUAGGGUGGGCCCUAAAUCCAAUGACCGGUGUCUUUAUGUAAACGAAGAGGGAGAUGUGGAUACAGAGUCGCAGAGGAGACACAGGGAGGAUCCCUGUCACAAUGAAGGCAGAGAUUAGAGUGACGCUGUUUACAAACCAAGGACACCAA
rnacentral:lncRNA from 10 species